rnacentral:rRNA from 1 species
AGUGAACGCUGGCGGUAGGCCUAACACAUGCAAGUCGAACGGCAGCACAGUAAGAGCUUGCUCUUACGGGUGGCGAGUGGCGGACGGGUGAGGAAUACAUCGGAAUCUACUUUUUCGUGGGGGAUAACGUAGGGAAACUUACGCUAAUACCGCAUACGACCUACGGGUGAAAGCAGGGGAUCUUCGGACCUUGCGCGAUUGAAUGAGCCGAUGUCGGAUUAGCUAGUUGGCGGGGUAAAGGCCCACCAAGGCGACGAUCCGUAGCUGGUCUGAGAGGAUGAUCAGCCACACUGGAACUGAGACACGGUCCAGACGCCUACGGGAGGCAGCAGUGGGAAAUAUUGGACAAUGGGCGCAAGCCUGAUCCAGCCAUACCGCGUGGGUGAAGAAGGCCUUCGGGUUGUAAAGCCCUUUUGUUGGGAAAGAAAAGCAGCAGGUUAAUACCCCGCUGUUCUGACGGUACCCAAAGAAUAAGCACCGGCUAACUUCGU